ACAAACGCUGGCGGCGUGCCUAACACAUGCAAGUCGUACGAGAAAGUCGGCUUCGGCUGAUGAGUAAAGUGGCGCACGGGUGAGUAACGCGUGGAUAAUCUGCCCUUUAGUUGGGAAUAACGUACCGAAAGGUGCGCUAAUACCGAAUAAUACUGAGUGACUACUGUCAUUUAGUCAAAGAAGGCCUCUGUUUACAAGCUUUUGCUGAAGGAUGAGUCCGCGUACCAUUAGCUAGUUGGUGGGGUAAUGGCCUACCAAGGCUUCGAUGGUUAGCUGGUCUGAGAGGAUGAUCAGCCACACUGGAACUGAGACACGGUCCAGACUCCUACGGGAGGCAGCAGUGAGGAAUAUUGCGCAAUGGGGGCAACCCUGACGCAGCAACGCCGCGUGAGU
rnacentral:rRNA from 1 species